UGAUAAAACAACCUUGCAAUGUUGCUAGAAAUGUUGUUGUUUUAUUGCUGUUAUAACAUUAUAAAAGUAUAACACUUUUAAGUUAAACGUGUUUCAUCUCCAGUGUGAACGGCAUAGUGAUGAUUUAAAACUUCCUCAGCUACUCCAAGCUACUUCAGCGACUCUAGAUGCAGCUUCGAAACUUUUAUGCACAUUAAAAAAAAAUUUUAUUUUCAAUGAGCAUAAUAUGUAAAUUGAAAUCACUGAAGAAACUGAAAUCACUGAAGAAAUUGAAAUCACUGAAGAAAAUGAAAUCACUGAAGAAUACCUCUCUAGAAAUAUUAACUUAAUUCAAUUUAUUGAAUUCGUUUAUUGUUUUUUUUAGAGAUAAUGUCAAACAA